UGGGGAAUUUUGGACAAUGGGCGCAAGCCUGAUCCAGCAAUGCCGCGUGCAGGAUGAAGGCCUUCGGGUUGUAAACUGCUUUUGUACGGAACGAAAAAGCUCUCUCUAAUACAGGGGGUGAAUGACGGUACCGUAGGAAUAAGCACCGGCUAACUACGUGCCAGCAGCCGCGGUAAUACGUAGGGGGCAAGCGUUGUCCGGAUUUACUGGGUGUAAAGGGCGCGCAGGCGGGAUAAAAAGUCAGUGGUGAAAUCCUACAGCUUAACUGUAGAACUGCCUUUGAUACUUUUAUUCUUGAGUUCGGGAGAGAGAGACGGAAUUCCAGGUGUAGUGGUGAAAUACGUAGAUAUCUGGAAGAACACCAGUUGCGAAGGCGGUCUCUUGGUCCGACACUGACGCUGAGGCGCGAAAGCGUGGGGAGCAAAC
rnacentral:rRNA from 1 species